rnacentral:lncRNA from 1 species
CAUGAGUCUCCCUUGCCUGCCCCAUCGGAGCCGCCGGAGGUGGAGUCCGCCUCCGGGACCCCCGAACUCCUGUGCGUGCCCCUCCAUGGUGCUCUAGGCUGUGGAGGGCAAGGCCAGUCCCCGGGGGCAGGGUGAGGAAGGGGCCCCCAUGCAGCCCUGCUGCGGAUUGGCGGGAGGACCCCAGGCUGGGCCAACCCAGCAGCCCCCGGCCAGGAGCGGGCAUCCCAAUGGGGAAAUCGGCCAGGAGGGGCUGGGGAAGCUGGUGCCUUCGCCCGCGCCCCGUGAGCUUUACCUCCGUGCGACAAGAGCGGUGGCUCCGGGCGGGGCCCACGCAGCUGGAGCCUCCAUCUCUCCUGCGGGACCAGAGCACCGGGAAGACCUGACCGAGACCCAACGUCCCCGCCCCCGUUCUGGGGCUCUCUGCAGGCCCCAACUUCUGCGGGACUCUCCGGUGGGAGCAGCAAGGGUUCUCAGGAACAACCCCUAUACAAACCGGGACAGAGGCACCUCACUACUCCUUCUGUGCCCCACCUUCUCCACUGACCCUGCCGGAGUGCAGCACACACAGCAAGCAUUUAAUAAAUCGCUUGAAGUGGGGAACAUCUGUACUCGGUAAAGAAACCACAGGAAUUGGGAACUGCUGGUUGAAGAUUAUUUACCAGUUCCAGCAAAAUUGACUGCACCUGCCAUACUGCAGGCAGGUGCAGCAUCAGGAGCUGGCGACCAGGGGCAACAGGCAGCACGCGUGCUCCAGCUCAGAGUGGAAGGCCCUGGGAAAUGGUUUGAUUUCCUGCGCUGAACUGAUGCUGCUUCCAGAAUGAAUCUGCUCCUUGGUGGGUUCUGCUGAUGUGGCCAGUGCUAGCCUAGGCCACGACCACCUAGCCCACCACCCAGAAGGCAGCAUCCCCUGCUCCUGCUUUAACAACCUGGCCCAUUUUCAUCUCUCCUACCUCUGGGAGUAGCAGGGGCGCUCCCGGAAGCUGACACCCCCUCCACAGGUCCGGCUGCAGGGGCUCCACUGGCCCCAGGGUCCCCAGGUGUCACUCUGCCGCCUCACCUUGGGAGCCUGCAGAAGACAGGACCAUGCAUCAGCAUUGCCCACUCACAGCCUGAUCCCAGAGGCCCCUCCAAAGAUGCUCUGCCUAAAACCCUCCCCCACCCAUCAAGAAGUCUGGGAUUCUCCCUUCCAGGGCCCGCCUUUAGGACUCAGCAACACUGCCGGGCACCCCAAAACAUAUUCCUUUUCAGAAUUAGCCUGCUUUCCUCAUAAGGAGCUGAGAGCCAGGCCUGGAGGGCGGGAGCAGGAGCAGCUGGGAAGAGUUUGGAGUUUCAGGGGCCACUGGAGGGAGGGACCCUACAGCCAGGGGCAGUUUGAGGGUCCAGGCAUUUGUAGGUUAACCGUGAUGUAGGGAAGGGGGCCCUAAAAGAAAAUAAAGGGAAGCAACGUGGGGGGAUCCUGCUAAUCUGGCCGAGACUCCCAGGAGUACCCCAAUAUUCAUCCCCUCCUUCUCCCAGUACCCCAAUAUUCAUCCCCUCCUCCCAGUACCCCAAUAUUCAUCCCCUCCUUCUCCCAUUGUGAGAGAACGCUUGAAAACUUGACUCAGCUGGGUACCUGGCUGCCCAAAAUUAAAAAAAAAAUACAUUUCCUGGACUGCCUGCAGCUAACUGUGGCUACAUCACUUAGUUCUCAUCAGUGAGAUGUAAAUACAAGUGUUGGGCAGCUGCCGCAAAUAAUCUCAAGAGAGAGCCUGCGUGAGCCUUUGUCCUUUUCUCCUUCCUCCUGUACUCUUUCAGGCUGUCUGGGAAGCAGAUGUGAUGACUGGAGUUGGAGC